rnacentral:pre_miRNA from 15 species
GAAUGAUGCAAAACUAUUUUUGUGAUGUGUUCCUAAUAUGAAAUAUAAGUGUAUUGGGAAUAUUUUGCAUCCAUGGUUUUGUAUCAAUAAG